rnacentral:rRNA from 1 species
UACGUAGGUGGCAAGCGUUGUCCGGAUUUACUGGGUGUAAAGGGCGUGCAGCCGGGCUGACAAGUCAGAUGUGAAAUCCGCGGGCUUAACCUGCGAACUGCAUUUGAAACUAUUGGUCUUGAGUGCCGGAGAGGUAAUCGGAAUUCCUUGUGUAGCGGUGAAAUGCGUAGAUAUAAGGAAGAACACCAGUGGCGAAGGCGGCCUGCUGGACGGUGACUGACGCUGAGGCUCGAAGGCGUGGGGAGCAAACAGG